UACGGAGGGGACUAGCGUUGUUCGGAAUUACUAGGCGUAAAGCGCCCGUAGGCGGAUUUGUAAGUCAGGGGUGAAAUCCCGGGGCUCAACCUCGGAACUGCCUUUGAUACUGCAAAUCUCGAGUCCGGAAGAGGUGAGUGGAAUUCCUAGUGUAGAGGUGAAAUUCGUAGAUAUUAGGAAGAACACCAGUGGCGAAGGCGGCUCACUGGUCCGGUACUGACGCUGAGGUGCGAAAGCGUGGGGAGCAAACAGG
rnacentral:rRNA from 1 species